rnacentral:rRNA from 1 species
UACAGAGGGUGCAAGCGUUAAUCGGAAUUACUGGGCGUAAAGCGUGCGUAGACGGUUACAUAAGUCGGGUGUGAAAGCCCCGGGCUCAACCUGGGAAUUGCAUUCGAGACUGCGUAGCUAGGGUGCGGAAGAGGGAAGCGGAAUUUCCGGUGUAGCGGUGAAAUGCGUAGAUAUCGGAAGGAACACCAGUGGCGAAGGCGAGUCUCUGGACAUUUCCUGACGCUGAGGCACGAAAGCCAGGGGAGCAAACGGG